rnacentral:rRNA from 1 species
UACGGAGGGUGCAAGCGUUAUCCGGAUUCACUGGGUUUAAAGGGUGCGUAGGUGGGUUGGUAAGUCAGUGGUGAAAUCUCCAGGCUUAACUUGGAAACUGCCAUUGAUACUAUCAAUCUUGAAUACCGUGGAGGUCAGCGGAAUAUGUCAUGUAGCGGUGAAAUGCUUAGAUAUGACAUAGAACACCAAUUGCGAAGGCAGCUGGCUACACGAAU